CAUGUGUGUUAGUGGAAGCGUCUGGAAAGGCGCGCGAUACAGGGUGACAGCCCCGUACACAAAAGCGCAUGUGCUGUGAGCUCGAUGAGUAGGGCGGGACACGUGGUAUCCUGUCUGAAUAUGGGGGGACCAUCCUCCAAGGCUAAAUACUCCUGACUGACCGAUAGUGAACCAGUACCGUGAGGGAAAGGCGAAAAGAACCCCGGCGAGGGGAGUGAAAAAGAACCUGAAACCGUGUACGUACAAGCAGUGGGAGCACCCUUUGGGGUGUGACUGCGUACCUUUUGUAUAAUGGGUCAGCGACUUAUAUUCUGUAGCAAGGUUAACCGAAUAGGGGAGCCGGAGGGAAACCGAGUCUUAAUUGGGCGUUAAGUUGCAGGGUAUAGACCCGAAACCCGGUGAUCUAGCCAUGGGCAGGUUGAAGGUUGGGUAACACUAACUGGAGGACCGAACCGACUAAUGUUGAAAAAUUAGCGGAUGACCUGUGGCUGGGGGUGAAAGGCCAAUCAAACCGGGAGAUAGCUGGUUCUCCCCGAAAGCUAUUUAGGUAGCGCCUCGUGAAUUCAUCUCCGGGGGUAGAGCACUGUUUCGGCUAGGGGGCCAUCCCGGCUUACCAACCCGAUGCAAACUGCGAAUACCGGAGAAUGUUAUCACGGGAGACACACGGCGGGUGCUAACGUCCGUCGUGAAGAGGGAAACAACCCAGACCGCCAGCUAAGGUCCCAAAGUCAUGGUUAAGUGGGAAACGAUGUGGGAAGGCCCAGACAGCCAGGAUGUUGGCUUAGAAGCAGCCAUCAUUUAAAGAAAGCGUAAUAGCUCACUGGUCGAGUCGGCCUGCGCGGAAGAUGUAACGGGGCUAAACCAUGCACCGAAGCUGCGGCAGCGACGCUGAUGCGUUGUUGGGUAGGGGAGCGUUCUGUAAGCCUGCGAAGGUGGCCUGUGAGGGUUGCUGGAGGUAUCAGAAGUGCGAAUGCUGACAUAAGUAACGAUAAAGCGGGUGAAAAGCCCGCUCGCCGGAAGACCAAGGGUUCCUGUCCAACGUUAAUCGGGGCAGGGUGAGUCGACCCCUAAGGCGAGGCCGAAAGGCGUAGUCGAUGGGAAACGGGUUAAUAUUCCCGUACUUGGUGUUACUGCGAAGGGGGGACGGAGAAGGCUAUGUUGGCCGGGCGACGGUUGUCCCGGUUUAAGCGUGUAGGUGUGUGUUCCAGGUAAAUCCGGUUCACUUUAACACUGAGGCGUGAUGACGAGGCACUACGGUGCUGAAGCAACAAAUGCCCUGCUUCCAGGAAAAGCCUCUAAGCAUCAGGUAACAUCAAAUCGUACCCCAAACCGACACAGGUGGUCAGGUAGAGAAUACCAAGGCGCUUGAGAGAACUCGGGUGAAGGAACUAGGCAAAAUGGUGCCGUAACU
rnacentral:rRNA from 1 species